CUAAAUAUGUUAUUAUAAAACCGCUAUGUAAAUCGUCCCGGUGGAUUCGAGUGUGAUUGAGUUAUCAUUGAACCCGUUAAUCACAGGUUAUUACCGGGUAAUUAGAAGACAUUUACAAACCAUUUUAUGAAAUGAAAAUAGUCGAGUACCCAAUUCAAGUAUCACUUAAAAAACCGCUCGAGCGAAAUACACAAUAUACGCCACAUGAAAGAGC
rnacentral:lncRNA from 1 species